UACGGAGGAGGCAAGCGUUAUCCGGAAUUAUUGGGCGUAAAGCGUCCGCAGGUGGCACCUCAAGUCUGCUGUCAAAGACCGGGGCUUAACCCCAGAAAGGCAGUGGAAACUGAAGUGCUAGAGUGCGGUAGGGGCAGAGGGAAUUCCCAGUGUAGCGGUGAAAUGCGUAGAUAUUGGGAAGAACACCGGUGGCGAAAGCGCUCUGCUGGACCUGCACUGACACUGAGGGACGAAAGCUAGGGGAGCGAACAGG
rnacentral:rRNA from 1 species